UGGGGGGGGGGCCGCAGGCACUUGUGCCGGCGCAGCCUCUCGCAUCAAGUGAGGACUAAUCCCAUCCCUGGGCCUGCUCUCUGUUCCCUUCCUGCAUUAGAGAUUGGCUAUAAGGAGAAGGCUGACGGCUGCAGCAUGAAGCGCAUUAUUACCUUGUGAUUCCAUGACCCUCCUCUAUGCAUCCCUAACUCUCGAAAGCUGAUUCAGCUUUCAGCUAGUGCUCUGGUGAGUCCUCUGCUGCAACAGAAGCUCCUAACUGAGGAGACUACCUCUUCAAAGGAUGGCAAGCAUGCCUUCAGAUACAGACGAGGCAACCUAGAUGGAUGGCGGAGUGAGGGAGGCGAGUGAUCUGGGAAGACAGAAGAUUUUCCCGGAGAGCAAAAUGAACCCUUGAUGAAGCCUUUGGGAUUAAAGAGGUGGCUUAGUUCUUUCACAGCAUCCACCCUUCAGCCCAUUUAAGCACCAUGCCUUUUCCGAGAAAUGAAGGGCAAAAGAAGCACUGAUAAGCAAUAAAGAGAUAAGCAGCAAAGUACUCGUUUCACUGGUGUUUCCCAGUGAAAAAUGAACCCUCAAGCACACCCAGUGAUUUGUUGUCUAAAGCAGCAAAGCUCACCCAAGUUCCCGAUUUUGCUUCCAGCAGAGAUGCUCAUUGCUCAUUCUCACACCCUGGAGCAACUGGGACUCGUUACACGGCACUCGCUCUUCCCGCCCGCACCUGCCGGGGUGCAGCGAGGACCAGCUUAUAUAUGCACAUAUACAUUUUA